rnacentral:rRNA from 1 species
AUUGAACGCUGGCGGCAUGCCUUACACAUGCAAGUCGAACGGCAGCACGGGUGCUUGCACCUGGUGGCGAGUGGCGAACGGGUGAGUAAUAUAUCGGAACGUGCCCUAGAGUGGGGGAUAACGUAGCGAAAGUUACGCUAAUACCGCAUACGAUCUAAGGAUGAAAGUGGGGGAUCGCAAGACCUCAUGCUCAUGGAGCGGCCGAUAUCUGAUUAGCUAGUUGGUGGGGUAAUAGCCCACCAAGGCGACGAUCAGUAGCUGGUCUGAGAGGACGACCAGCCACACUGGGACUGAGACACAGCCCAGACUCCUACGGGAGGCAGCAGUGGGGAAUUUUGGACAAUGGGGGAAACCCUGAUCCAGCAAUGCCGCGUGUGUGAAGAAGGCCUUCGGGUUGUAAAGCACUUUUGUCAGGAACGAAACGGUGGGGGCUAAUACCCUCUGCUAAUGACGGUACCUGAAGAAUAAGCACCGGCUAACUACGUG